UACGGGGGGAGCAAGCGUUGUUCGGAUUUACUGGGCGUAAAGGGCGCGUAGGCGGUAGCACAAGUCAGUUGUGAAAUCUCCGGGCUUAACUCGGAAAGGUCAACUGAUACUGUGCGACUAGAGUGCAGAAGGGGCAACUGGAAUUCUCGGUGUAGCGGUGAAAUGCUUAGAGAUCAUGAGGAAGACCAGUGGCGAAGGCGGGUCUCUGGACAGUACCUGACACUGAGGCACGAAGGCCAGGGGAGCAAACGGG
rnacentral:rRNA from 1 species